rnacentral:tRNA from 1 species
GUGGGUGUAGCUCAGGAGGUUAGAGCGCUAGGUUGUGGCCCUAGAGGCCGUCGGUUCGAGUCCGAUCAUCCACCCCA